UUGCAGGAUACAUUGCAGCUGCAGGCACUGGCAGCUUCCUGUCCAUGCGUGUAGCUCAACCCCCACCCAGGCAUGAACUUUCCAUGGAGCUUACCAAGUUUAGGCUGCUGCUGGCCGGCCAUGUGAUGGAUCGUGUUGCUGCUCUGAGUCUUUCCUCCUUCAUCCCCUGACAGCUACAGGCCACAGGUAGCUGUGCCCCCUGCAUAUCCUGGCUGGAGUGUUCCGUGCGGAUGUCCUUUCCUGGUUCCUGUUGUUUCUGCUGCUGCAUAUUUUCCUCAUUCUCAGGCUCCUGCUGCUGCAGAUGGCUCAUCUCAUCUCCAGUAACCCGACUACUUUACAGACUACUCCCUACACCUUGACAAAGAUCCCUAGAGGAUCGUAAUGCAUUGGUGGGGGAGUCUGUUGUUCAAUAAGAGGGAAUGCUGACCGAUAUGGAGAAGACAUUGCAGUGAAAAAAUGGGGCCCCCGUUUUUUUCUAACAGCCACUACCCACAUGUGAUCUACAACUUGGCGGUACUGAAAACAUUCAACAUCAAGAACAACAAAAAAACCAGGGGAGUACUAACUGUUUCUUUAUAUGUUUUUACUUCUGUAUUUUCUUAAGCGCACAUAUAAGUAUUAGGUAACCCAUUUACCGAUAUUUCGUUUAGGGUCUGUGGUGUGACCCUUCAUCUUAUGAUUCAUUAGGGCAGUUUAAUUGUGCGCACUCAGAUUGUACCAUUUGUUUUUAUUUUUGUAUGAUAAUCAAAACUGAGCAUUUCUGGCCAUUUUUGGACUGUUUAUCUGUAUUUGGCCAAAAUGAUCAUGCCUAUAUAUUACACAAACAGGCCAAUCGCCCAAUUAUUGACAAGUCAACCCAAUAAUUGUAUAGGGUGUACCUAUCUUAAGAGAUGCUCUGUAAUCCAUCUUCUGAUGUUUUCUAUUUGGAGGGCAUGGUGUAUUAAAAGUGGACAACCCCUUUAAAUGUUGGCAUCUAUUUGUUAGCUAUGAUAACAAUUAUAGAUGCUGAAGCACUCCAUGACUACAGCUCCCACACAUCCCAUCUGUAUAAAGAAUGCUGACAGAUUUAGCAGCUGUUCUGACAAAAAUAUGCUUAAUAAGAUACAGUACAAACAUAAAAUUAACGAAGUAUAGUAAUCUUCACUAAAACGUGACCUUAUCCCAGAAAACAUGCACAUUGUUAUGGUUCUGUUAGGUGGACACCUAAAUGAAUACGCAGGAAAACAUUGGGCAAAAUUAAUUGUUAAGAGCAGUAGCAGCAAACCCUUAGACUUAGUUAUCACAUUGGGGCCUGAGACAUGAAGUGCAGCCCUGAAUCACUGACGUACAAUGUGCUGAUGCUGACUGUGACACAUAUGUCCAUAAAAAUAUGAUAAAAAAGAUGCCGCAAGUAAAUAAUGUGUACAGUAUUCACAUGCAUAUGCUUAAGAUACACCAAAAGCAUAGGUGUCAGACUUACAUCAGAAACCUGAGCCCACCCAUAACCCAGACAAGUCAUUUCCCUCUAUGGCCGUGGGAGUUGGGAUUGAUCUGCCAGUGUUUGGGAUGCCGGCAUCAGAAUACAGACUGUGGCAUCCCAAAGCCUGGAAUCCCAACAGGGUUAGGCCCACUAACCCUAACCCGCUAUCCCUGUAGCCUAAACCUAACCCUCCCCUUUCCGCAGCCUAACCCUAACCCUCCCCAAUGGUGCCUAAACCUAACCCCCCUUCCCCACAACCUAAACCUAACCCUCCCCUCCCGCAGCCUAUCCCUAACCCUCCUUGGGGGAUGCCUAAACUUAAUCCUCCCUCCUAUACCUAACCCCCCCAGGGCGCAGCCUGACCCUAACCCUCCCCUUGUAGCCUGAACCUAACCUCCUCUUCCCCUGUGGCUUACCUGUUCUGCAUCCCAGUGGAUGGUCGUUUGGGAUCCCAGCUGUUGAGAUUCCGGUGCCGGGAUGUUGAACCUUUGUUGGCAUUCCAAAUAGUGUCUGCAUUCCGGUGUCGGUAUUCUGAUUGCCGGGAUCCCAACAGCAGGGAUCCUGACCAGAUCCCGGCCCUGGUAGCAGUAUCAGGAAAAGAAUACACCUACACAGGUUAUGAAUAUGGUUCAGGCCAAGUUAGUCUAGUGACAUGGCAAACAAAUAAAACUAAGAUCUGAUUGGCUGACAUGGUUUAAGUCUAGAUAUGCAUCUUUGAGUAGCAUUUGUAAAUAACCGUGGCUGUGUUUGCUGGUUUCUGGAUUGUCAUAAAGAACAAUAAUUCUGCUAUGGUCCUGAUUCCCCUCUUGUUGUUUCCUAACUACUGUGCUAUUAUCUCCUGCACUCAUGCAAUAAUGCAAUUUAAUUGCCUUGCAUGAACUGCAGGCAAUUAGUUUUAUCCAGAGAGUUUAAUUAGAUGAGCAAUGAAUUACUCAUUUAAAAGAUUUUAGGUGAUAUGGGAAAUGCUCAUUGAAAUACUGUACAGAAUACAAUACAGUUGUUUUUAAAUUUGGGUAAUUAAUCUCUCGCGUUUAAUUGCAUGAAAUCAUAUAACAUCACAUUAUAUUUUCUAAACAGUUAAACCCAUGAGAUUUAAUUGUAGAAACUAAAAAUUGCCCAUCUAGAGCUUACCUGAAUUUAUUAAAAAUGAAUAACAAUGUAAUCAAGUGUUCUUUUGUUCUUACAUAAAACAUAUAUUCACACUAAAAAUAUAUAUAGCUAUCAAGUGCUUUUUCUCUAGAGUAAGAAUUCAGUUUUCUCUCCAAUACUGCUGUAUCAAUAAAUAUAAUGGCUUUACAUUAUAUUUCCUUAAUUGAUUUGUCUUGAGGUGUGAUAUGAGGGGUCUAAAGUGUUGAAAACCACUGAACAGAGGAAGCAGAUGAGGGAUUUAUUCAUGUAUUGACUGUUUCCUAUAGGAUUGUUUUGAACACAUAGGGGUAUAUGCAAUAGCGGGCGAAAUCGCGGCAAUUAUCGCCGUUUUUUCAAUUCGACCAAAUUCGCCAGGUGAAUUCCGGAAGGUGGCUUCCGGAAUUCACCAUAUGCAAUGAAAAACGGAUUCGCCAGAGUCGCGGGCGAAAAUCGGCCGAUUUGGCGGAUUUUGCCGCGAUUUUUAAAAACGGGAAAAAACGGGGAAAAACCCGAAAAAAAAAUGGCGUGGGGU